rnacentral:rRNA from 1 species
GAUGAACGCUAGCUACAGGCUUAACACAUGCAAGUCGAGGGACCGGCGCACGGGUGAGUAACACGUAUACAACCUGCCCUUUACUCGGGGAUAGCCUUGCGAAAGAAAGAUUAAUACCCGAUGUAAAGGAUGGGGAUGCGUUCCAUUAGGUUGUUGGUGAGGUAACGGCUCACCAAGCCUUCGAUGGAUAGGGGUUCUGAGAGGAAGGUCACCGGCAUUGGAACUGGGACACGAUCCAUACGCGUACGAGAGGCAGCAGUGAGGAAUAUUGGUAAAUGGGCCUUAGCCUGCAACGGCCAAGUAGCGUGAAGGAUGAAGGCUUAUGGGUCGUAAACUUCUUUUAUAUAAGAAUAUGUAUUAGAUGAAUAAGGAACGGCUAACUCCGUGCCAGCCGCCGCGGUAAUUC